GAUUAACGCUGGCGGCGUGCAUAACACUUGCAAGUCGAACGAUGAAACUUUACUGACUUCUUCGGAAUGAUUUAAAGCGGAUUAGUGGCGAACGGGUGAGUAACGCGUGAGUAACCUGCCUUACACAAGGGGAUAGCCUCUGGAAACGGAGAAUAAUACCCUAUGAAACCAGACAAUCGCAUGAUAAUCUGGUCAAAAUGUUUAGUGGUGUAAGAUGGACUUGCGUCUGAUUAGCUAGUUGGUGAGAUAAAAGCUCACCAAGGCAACGAUCAGUAGCCGGCUUGAGAGAGUGUACGGCCACAUUGGGACUGAGACACGGCCCAGACUCCUACGGGAGGCAGCAGUGGGGAAUUUUGCACAAUGGGGGAAACCCUGAUGCAGCGACGCCGCGUGAUUUAGAAGGCCUUCGGGUUGUAAAAAUCUUUUGUAUAGGAAGAAAAUGACAGUACUAUACGAAUAAGGUCCGGCUAAUUACGUG
rnacentral:rRNA from 1 species